AACGAACGCUGGCGGCAUGCCUAACACAUGCAAGUCGAACGAGACCUUCGGGUCUAGUGGCGCACGGGUGCGUAACGCGGGGGAACCUGCCCUUAGGUUCGGAAUAACUCCCCGAAAGGGGUGCUAAUACCGGAAAAUGUCUUCGGACCAAAGAUUUAUCUCCCUUGGAUGGGCCCGCGUUGGAUUAGCUAGUUGGUAGGGUAAAAGCCUACCAAGGCGACGAUCCAUAGCUGGUCUGAGAGGAUGAUCAGCCACACUGGGACUGAGACACGGCCCAGACUCCUGCGCGAGGCAGCAGUGGGGAAUAUUGGACAAUGGGCGAAAGCCUGAUCCAGUUCUGCCGCGUGAGUGAUGAAGGCCUUGGGGUUGUAAAGCUCUUUUACCCGGGAUGAUAAUGACGUUACCGGGAGAAUAAGCACCGGCUAACUCCGUG
rnacentral:rRNA from 1 species